CCAGAGAAUUUAGCAGAGAUGCUUUAGUGCCUUCGGGAACUCUGAGACAGGUGCUGCAUGGCUGUCGUCAGCUCGUGUUGUGAAAUGUUGGGUUAAGUCCCGCAACGAGCGCAACCCUUAUCCUUUGUUGCCAGCACGUAAUGGUGGGAACUCAAAGGAGACUGCCUGUGAUAAACCGGAGGAAGGUGGGGAUGACGUCAAGUCAUCAUGGCCCUUACGAGUAGGGCUACACACGUGCUACAAUGGCGCAUACAAAGAGAAGCGACCUCGCGAGAGCAAGCGGACCUCAUAAAGUGCGUCGUAGUCCGGAUUGGAGUCUGCAACUCGACUCCAUGAAGUCGGAAUCGCUAGUAAUCGUAAAUCAGAAUGUUACGGUGAAUACGUUCCCGGGCCUUGUACACACCGCCCGUCACACCAUGGGAGUGGGUUGCAAAAGAAGUAGAUAGCUUAACCUUCGGGAGGGCGUUUACCACUUUGUGAUUCAUGACUGGGGUGAAGUCGUAACAAGGUAGGCGUAGUGCU
rnacentral:rRNA from 1 species